CAACUUUGAAUGUGUUUGGCUAUCAUUGGUUGGUUAACUUCCUCAUGAUUUGCUAGACCUCUUUGCUAAUACAGCACUGACUAAAUAUUUUGAGUAUUUUCUUUGUAUCUCUUAACAUUAGUUAGUCUCUAUCCUCGAGUAGAAAAACUUGUACUUUCUGAAUGUAAUGUGAAUUUAGCUUUCAUGUUUAUGCAGCGGGGUUGUAUCAAUUUCAUCGUGUUUGUUUGAUCUGGAUUGCAGGAAGUGUUGAGCCAGGUCUUGCACGAGGCUGGUUAUACAAGGGACUCAUGGUUGCUUCUGAAUGACUUCAUUAAGAUCCUGGACCACCCUGGUUUGAAGAUGGAGGUAGAAGUACCAAUUGACUAGUUACACCUGCAAUUUCAUUUACUAUAAUUCAGAUGUAUCUGUGUACAAGGCAGCCGUGUUAUUCUGUUUUGUUGAAUUCGCGCACCUGCAUUCUCCUGCUGUUUUUUGUUAAAUCUCUUUCUUUUUCCUUCUUUUGCCCCCGUUUUAUGUCUGUUUGCGCGGCAGGGACAGAAACAGAGAAACCGCCGUGUAAUUAAGAUAAAAGCUUUCAGCUUAUUCAGAAGAUCUUGAAUAUGCUAUAAUUUUAAUCUCUCACAAACUGUGUAUCUUUCCAAUUUGAGUUGAGCAGAGUUUUGCAUGCUUCAA